rnacentral:rRNA from 1 species
GGGUUGUGAGGUUAAGCGACUAAGCGUACACGGUGGAUGCCCUGGCAGUCAGAGGCGAUGAAGGACGUGCUAAUCUGCGAUAAGCGCCGGUAAGGUGAUAUGAACCGUUAUAACCGGCGAUUUCCGAAUGGGGAAACCCAGUGUGAUUCGUCACACUAUCAUUACGUGAAUACAUAGCGUAAUGAAGCGAACCGGGGGAACUGAAACAUCUAAGUACCCCGAGGAAAAGAAAUCAACCGAGAUUCCCCCAGUAGCGGCGAGCGAACGGGGAGGAGCCCAGAGCCUGAAUCAGCAUGUGUGUUAGUGGAAGCGUCUGGAAAGGCGCGCGAUACAGGGUGACAGCCCCGUACACAAAAGCGCAUGUGCUGUGAGCUCGAUGAGUAGGGCGGGACACGUGGUAUCCUGUCUGAAUAUGGGGGGACCAUCCUCCAAGGCUAAAUACUCCUGACUGACCGAUAGUGAACCAGUACCGUGAGGGAAAGGCGAAAAGAACCCCGGCGAGGGGAGUGAAAAAGAACCUGAAACCGUGUACGUACAAGCAGUGGGAGCCCCACCACUAAGCCAGUGGUGAACUCCACAUACGCAUCCUUUGCUGAGGAUACGGUUAACGGAGCGAAAGCGACGUUCAACCGCAAAAGAAGCAGAGGGGGCUUAGUGGUGGGGUGACUGCGUACCUUUUGUAUAAUGGGUCAGCGACUUAUAUUCUGUAGCAAGGUUAACCGAAUAGGGGAGCCGCAGGGAAACCGAGUCUUAAUUGGGCGUUAAGUUGCAGGGUAUAGACCCGAAACCCGGUGAUCUAGCCAUGGGCAGGUUGAAGGUUGGGUAACACUAACUGGAGGACCGAACCGACUAAUGUUGAAAAAUUAGCGGAUGACCUGUGGCUGGGGGUGAAAGGCCAAUCAAACCGGGAGAUAGCUGGUUCUCCCCGAAAGCUAUUUAGGUAGCGCCUCGUGAAUUCAUCUCCGGGGGUAGAGCACUGUUUCGGCUAGGGGGCCAUCCCGGCUUACCAACCCGAUGCAAACUGCGAAUACCGGAGAAUGUUAUCACGGGAGACACACGGCGGGUGCUAACGUCCGUCGUGAAGAGGGAAACAACCCAGACCGCCAGCUAAGGUCCCAAAGUCAUGGUUAAGUGGGAAACGAUGUGGGAAGGCCCAGACAGCCAGGAUGUUGGCUUAGAAGCAGCCAUCAUUUAAAGAAAGCGUAAUAGCUCACUGGUCGAGUCGGCCUGCGCGGAAGAUGUAACGGGGCUAAACCAUGCACCGAAGCUGCGGCAGCGACGCUGAUGCGUUGUUGGGUAGGGGAGCGUUCUGUAAGCCUGUGAAGGUGUGUCGUGAGGCAUGCUGGAGGUAUCAGAAGUGCGAAUGCUGACAUAAGUAACGAUAAAGCGGGUGAAAAGCCCGCUCGCCGGAAGACCAAGGGUUCCUGUCCAACGUUAAUCGGGGCAGGGUGAGUCGACCCCUAAGGCGAGGCCGAAAGGCGUAGUCGAUGGGAAACGGGUUAAUAUUCCCGUACUUGGUGUUACUGCGAAGGGGGGACGGAGAAGGCUAUGUUGGCCGGGCGACGGUUGUCCCGGUUUAAGCGUGUAGGUGUGUGUUCCAGGUAAAUCCGGUUCACUUUAACACUGAGGCGUGAUGACGAGGCACUACGGUGCUGAAGCAACAAAUGCCCUGCUUCCAGGAAAAGCCUCUAAGCAUCAGGUAACAUCAAAUCGUACCCCAAACCGACACAGGUGGUCAGGUAGAGAAUACCAAGGCGCUUGAGAGAACUCGGGUGAAGGAACUAGGCAAAAUGGUGCCGUAACUUCGGGAGAAGGCACGCUGACACGUAGGUGAAGUGAUUUACUCACGGAGCUGAAGUCAGUCGAAGAUACCAGCUGGCUGCAACUGUUUAUUAAAAACACAGCACUGUGCAAACACGAAAGUGGACGUAUACGGUGUGACGCCUGCCCGGUGCCGGAAGGUUAAUUGAUGGGGUCAGCGCAAGCGAAGCUCCUGAUCGAAGCCCCGGUAAACGGCGGCCGUAACUAUAACGGUCCUAAGGUAGCGAAAUUCCUUGUCGGGUAAGUUCCGACCUGCACGAAUGGCGUAAUGAUGGCCAGGCUGUCUCCACCCGAGACUCAGUGAAAUUGAACUCGCUGUGAAGAUGCAGUGUACCCGCGGCAAGACGGAAAGACCCCGUGAACCUUUACUAUAGCUUGACACUGAACAUUGAGCCUUGAUGUGUAGGAUAGGUGGGAGGCUUUGAAGUGUGGACGCCAGUCUGCAUGGAGCCGACCUUGAAAUACCACCCUUUAAUGUUUGAUGUUCUAACGUGGACCCGUAAUCCGGGUUGCGGACAGUGUCUGGUGGGUAGUUUGACUGGGGCGGUCUCCUCCUAAAGAGUAACGGAGGAGCACGAAGGUUGGCUAAUCCUGGUCGGACAUCAGGAGGUUAGUGCAAUGGCAUAAGCCAGCUUGACUGCGAGCGUGACGGCGCGAGCAGGUGCGAAAGCAGGUCAUAGUGAUCCGGUGGUUCUGAAUGGAAGGGCCAUCGCUCAACGGAUAAAAGGUACUCCGGGGAUAACAGGCUGAUACCGCCCAAGAGUUCAUAUCGACGGCGGUGUUUGGCACCUCGAUGUCGGCUCAUCACAUCCUGGGGCUGAAGUAGGUCCCAAGGGUAUGGCUGUUCGCCAUUUAAAGUGGUACGCGAGCUGGGUUUAGAACGUCGUGAGACAGUUCGGUCCCUAUCUGCCGUGGGCGCUGGAGAACUGAGGGGGGCUGCUCCUAGUACGAGAGGACCGGAGUGGACGCAUCACUGGUGUU